CUGAAGUUUGUAUGUCUGAUUUACCUGUAGCUCCUGAUGCUUUCGUACCUUCUUCUGUCACUUCAAUCUUUGCUUUAUGAAUAGCUUCUGAAAUGUAAAGACCGCCUUGCUCUAACAAACCAACCAAAAAUGUCUUCCGCCGAUCUCUUCCCUCCAUGAUGUUAAAAUACAUUUUCUUCAAAAAGAUGGUGGAGAGAAAAACUUGCCUGCAUGUAGCAGCCAUGAACAAGUACGGAGGAGAACCUAGUCUAAAAGUUAUCUGCCUACUUUAUGGAGAACAUCCGAAGGCUAGUAAGAAUAGGAGACUGAUUUCUGUCCCCCUGUCUGCCAAUGGUUUGCUGUGUGACCUUGAACAAGUCACUUAACCUUUCUUGUAUCAUUCAUGCCAAGAAACUUUUGACACUAGAAUUAGUUGAAAGAUGCAACCAACCCACUAUUGUCUGGUCAUCUAUUUUAAGAAUUUUGUUUUAAAAAGUUAUUGGGCUAAAUCCUGAU